ACUAUUUUGGCAGAUUAGUGCAAUAAAUUUAGAAUUUAUAAAUGUAAUAAAUAAUUACAAAUAGUA
rnacentral:tRNA from 1 species